rnacentral:rRNA from 1 species
UUUGAUGGCGACCGGCGCACGGGUGCGUAACGCGUAUCGAACCUGCCUCAUACUCGGGGAUAGCCUUGCGAAAGUAAGAUUAAUACCCGACGGUCUCGGAUGUCCGCAUGUCUAUACGAGUGAAGAUUUAUCGGUAUGAGAUGGCGAUGCGUUCCAUUAGAUAGUUGGUGAGGUAAUGGCUCACCAAGUCAUCGAUGGGUAGGGGUUCUGAGAGGAAGGUCCCCCACAUUGGAACUGAGACACGGUCCAAACUCCUACGGGAGGCAGCAGUGAGGAAUAUUGGUCAAUGGACGAGAGUCUGAACCAGCCAAGUAGCGUGCAGGAUGACGGCCCUAUGGGUUGUAAACUUCUUUUAGUUGGGAAUAAAAUGAGGUACGUGUCCCUUAUUGUAUGUACCAUCAGAAAAAGGAUCGGCUAAUUCCGUGCCAGCAGCCGCGGUAAUACGGAAGGUCCAGGCGUUAUCCGGAUUUAUUGGGUUUAAAGGGAGCGCAGGCGGCGGUGUAAGUCAGUUGUGAAAUCGUGCGGCUUAACCGUGCAAUUGCAGUUGAUACUGCGUCUCUUGAGUGCACACAGGGCUGUUGGAAUUCAUGGUGUAGCGGUGAAAUGCUUAGAUAUCAUGAAGAACUCCGAUCGCGAAGGCAUAUGUCUGGAGUGCAACUGACGCUGAGGCUCGAAAGUGUGGGUAUCAAACCAGG